UACGUAGGGUGCGAGCGUUAAUCGGAAUUACUGGGCGUAAAGCGUGCGCAGGCGGUUUUGUAAGCCAGAUGUGAAAUCCCCGGGCUUAACCUGGGAAUGGCAUUUGGGACUGCAAGGCUUGAGUUUGGCAGAGGAGACUGGAAUUCCUGGUGUAGCAGUGAAAUGCGUAGAUAUCAGGAGGAAUACCGAUGGCGAAGGCAGGUCUCUGGGCUAGAACUGACGCUCAUGCACGAAAGCGUGGGGAGCAAGCAGG
rnacentral:rRNA from 1 species